rnacentral:rRNA from 1 species
AACGAAUUCGCCCUUAGAGUUUGAUCCUGGCUCAGAUUGAACGCUGGCGGCAGGCCUAACACAUGCAAGUCGAGCGGCAGCACGGGUACUUGUACCUGGUGGCGAGCGGCGGACGGGUGAGUAAUGCCUAGGAAUCUGCCUGGUAGUGGGGGAUAACGCUCGGAAACGGACGCUAAUACCGCAUACGUCCUACGGGAGAAAGCAGGGGACCUUCGGGCCUUGCGCUAUCAGAUGAGCCUAGGUCGGAUUAGCUAGUUGGUGAGGUAAUGGCUCACCAAGGCGACGAUCCGUAACUGGUCUGAGAGGAUGAUCAGUCACACUGGAACUGAGACACGGUCCAGACUCCUACGGGAGGCAGCAGUGGGGAAUAUUGGACAAUGGGCGAAAGCCUGAUCCAGCCAUGCCGCGUGUGUGAAGAAGGUCUUCGGAUUGUAAAGCACUUUAAGUUGGGAGGAAGGGCAGUUACCUAAUACGUAAUUGUUUUGACGUUACCGACAGAAUAAGCACCGGCUAACUCUGUGCCAGCAGCCGCGGUAAUACAGAGGGUGCAAGCGUUAAUCGGAAUUACUGGGCGUAAAGCGCGCGUAGGUGGUUCGUUAAGUUGGAUGUGAAAUCCCCGGGCUCAACCUGGGAACUGCAUUCAAAACUGACGAGCUAGAGUAUGGUAGAGGGUGGUGGAAUUUCCUGUGUAGCGGUGAAAUGCGUAGAUAUAGGAAGGAACACCAGUGGCGAAGGCGACCACCUGGACUGAUACUGACACUGAGGUGCGAAAGCGUGGGGAGCAAACAGGAUUAGAUACC